UUUUCUUUCUCUCUCAUUUUGCUUCUUUUCUCUUUUUGAUUCUUUCUUGCAUGCACUUUACUAUGAAAGAUUGAUUAAUGCUUGCAAAGCCAAAUUUUUCAGAACCCUAACCUUCUCUUCUCACAACAAAAAAGAAUCCAUUUCAAAAUACCAAUUAUUUGUUUAAUCAAUAUCAAUAUCAAGUUUAACAAUUUACCAAAACCAUAGCCAAAACCACUCACAAGAUGCUCGAAACGAUUAAAUACUUGAUCGGUUGGCCCGGUUUAAGAGGAUUUGGAUCCAAAUCCACCGCCGAACAAGUUACCGAAACCCACGGCGAACUUUGUUCAAUAACCGCCAUCAGAUGAAGGGCUGUGAUGAUUUGGAAACUUGAUUGGGGAUUUGAGUUUAGGAAACUGAAUUUGGUUUUGGUUGAUUGUGUCAGGGAACUUUGCUUCUUGCUUCGAUUGUUGUUGGUCUGCUUAGUAAUUUUCACUUUUUGAAUAACUCACCCUCUAUGAUAUUAAGUUCUACAUUUUUAACUUUUGUUGAAAUAGAUUGCACUUCCUAAGGGACUGUUAAUUUUGUUUUUGGCAGAAAAGAAGCUGAAAAUGCUAUAGUGCACAUAAGUGAUUAAUUAAUCAAAUUUCAUUGUAUUGUUUAUAAGUUCUCUCAAAAAGAAAAAGUUGAUCCUUUUUCUUUAAUGAAUUUUUUUUUGCAGGUUAUACUCACUCAACUCACUAAUAAUUAUAUUUAAAGGUAUGAAGUUUUUGUCAUCUUUAAAUUGAAAGAGCAUUGGGUGGUUGGUUCAAUAUAUUAUCAAGUGCAUGUUACUUUAAAACAAGUAUUCUUGAUACUAAUAUAUUAGCUUUACAAUGGUGUCACUUUUAUUAUGUUUCUAAUAUCUUAAUUUUGGUGAAAUCUUAUAGAUCAUUUGAUUUCUU